GUCUCCGUGGCGCAAUUGGUUAGCGCGUUCGACUGUUAUCACUAGCCGCAGCUUGCUUCUGCAGUGCAUCCUCUAGGAUACUCACAUCUGACGGCGACAUUUCAUCGAGAGGUUGGAAGUUCGAGCCUUCCCGGGGACG
rfam:Puccinia sorghi strain RO10H11247 Scaffold_1515, whole genome shotgun sequence.